UAGGAGGUCCCGCCUGCCCUGUGACUAUUAGUUUAACGGCCGCGGUAUUUUAACCGCGCGAAGGUAGCGCAAUCACUUGUCUCUUAAAUGGAGACCUGUAUGAAUGGCACAACGAGGGCUUAGCUGUCUCCUCCCCUAAGUUAAUGAAAUUGAUCUCCCCGUGCAGAAGCGGGGAUAAACACAUAAGACGAGAAGACCCUAUGAAGCUUUAGACGUAAGGUAGCCCAAACUAUAAUGACCUCCUGAUAAGCAGCCAAACCAAAAUGAGCCCCUACCCCGAUGUCUUUGGUUGGGGCGACCGCGGGGAAAGAAAAAACCCCCACGUGGAACGGGAGUACAACUCCUUAAACUCAGAGCCACAGCUCUAACAAACAAAAUUUUUUGACCUAAAGAUCCGGCAAUGCCGAUCAACGGACCGAGUUACUCUAGGGAUAACAGCGCAAUCCCCUUUUAGAGACCAUAUCAACAAGGGGGUUUACGACCUCGAUGUUGGAUCAGGACAUCCUAUUGGUGCAGCAGCUAUUAAGGGUUCGUUUGUUCAACG
rnacentral:rRNA from 1 species